UUGUCUCUGCCAUUAAUCGUCACUGUUUUAUUGGCCCUGGGCCCUGGUCCCUGACGUGAAUUGUUUAAUUUGUUGUAUAUUUUUUUUAAAUAUAAUCCAUUGGCAUCUUAUAUAAAUAUAGUCUAAAUGGCGCGAUUCAAUUCGUAAUUAUAUAAUAGUAUAAUUAUUACAUCGAAGUAUUUAUUAAUUUUUGAUAAUGAGCAACUUAAAUGAACAAAAUGGCUGCCGGCUACCGCCUUUGAUAGGAAACGAAGCUAAUAACGAUAAUAUACCACUACCCACUUCGAAUCAAAAAAUGGAAAUUUGCCGCAAUUUCGCUUGGGGCAGCUGCAAUAAAAACACGCAAUGUAAAUUUCGUCAUGAACUAGACUUUGAAGAAAUGAAAAAUAUCCUGAAAUUUUGUCACGAUUACCAGAACGCAUCCGGUUGUUUUAGAAAACAUUGCACGUAUCUGCAUACGACCAAGGAAGAGGAGAGUUUAUUUUUUGCCACGGGGCUGCUUCCUCCUGUUCUUGCAAAAAGGCAUGCUAAGAUGACAAAAAAAAAUACUUAUUGACAUUUGGGUGACUACGACGAUUUUAUUAAGCAAUAAAAACGAACAAAAUACCCACCAGCAAUGUCUUCUAGGACAGCCAUCGCCUUCGCUAGACAACGAAGUUAACAUGAAAUAUAAAAGACUUUGCAUAAUAAAAUGGACAUAUGCCGUAAUUUUGUUUGGGGCAGCCGCAAUAAAAACACGCAAUGCAAAUUUCGUCAUGAACUUGACUCCGAAAACAUGAAGAAAAUCUUAAAAUUUUGUCACGACUAUCAAAAUCCACCCGGUUGUACUAGAAUGUAAAACAGAUCUAUAUAAAACGAGAAAUUAUAUAUUAACUUCAACGUAAUAUUAAAAAAUAAUAAAUAUUUUCAACACCUAGUAUGCAACUACCACAGUAUGCAGAAAACAUUGCCCUUUGGAUCUAAAGUUUGAUGCAAAAGAUUUUAAUGAAAAAACUAAAUCCUCCAAUUAUCACCAUCUUAACACUGUGCACACGAGGGUCGUAUUCGUUUCGGUCAACUUCUUACAUUUUUGAUAAACUGUUAAUUCUGUAGUCAAUGAUACAAUUUUCAGCGAAUUAUUUUAUAGAAUAACCUUGUACCGACCUCGUGCGGGUAGUAUAUUCUAUACAUUUUUUUUACAAAACACAAUAUUUGUUCUUUAUACUUUGUUUAAUAACUAGAGCUCUCUAGUUUAUGAUAUUUCCAAAUAUCGGUAUAACAAAUAUAAUAACUAUGAUUGCUUUAAUAUAUCUAUUUACUAUUUUAUAAAAUUUAAUUGAUUAGUGUCUAUCAAAAUAAUAUUUGAAUGGCGAAUAAAUAAAAAAAAAUCGAUAAACGAUAGACAAUAUAGAGGUUUAAUACUCAUCAGUUGGAUCUUGAAUUGGACAAUACCUGACUGAAUGGUCUGUAAACAUACUACAAUAAAUAAAUAUUUAUUGCUUACCUGACGAUCUUACCCCCGUUGUAAGUAAAACUAAUUUAUAUUUUUCUUUGUUAUUUAAUAUUAAUUGUAUAUUAAAAAUAACUUUGCAUCGUAUUUUUAGAAUCUUCGUUACUGUCUUUCAUUCAACCGUGUUCAAAUUAAGGUUCAAAUUAAGAACAUAUAAAUAAUUGUAAUUAUUUAAAUGUUCUUAAUUUGAAAUGAUUAUAUCUAGAUGUAUACAAUAAUAUAGCGGAAAAGCUGCUCAGGGCUAAGGGCCUAUUAGUGAAUCGAAUUUGAUUUGAUGUACUUAUUCCAUUCCAUGUAGUGUAAUAAUAAUAAAUAGACAUCCUAAAGUACCAUUAUACUUAUAUUUCUAUGAAAA